GAUGAAGAACGUAGCGAAAUGCGAUAAGUAAUGUGAAUUGCAGAAUUCAGUGAAUCAUCGAAUCUUUGAACGCACAUUGCGCCCGCCAGUAUUCUGGCGGGCAUGCCUGUCUGAGCGUCAUCUCAACCCUCAUGCCCCUAGGGCGUGGUGUUGGGGAUCGGCCAAAGCCCGCGAGGGACGGCCGGCCCCUAAAUCUAGUGGCGGACCCGUCGUGGCCUCCUCUGCGAAGUAGUGAUAUUCCGCAUCGGAGAGCGAUGAGCCCCUGCCGUUAAACCCCCAACUUUCCAAGGUUGACCUCAGAUCAGGUAGGAAUACCCGCUGAACUUAAGCAUAUCAAUAAGCGGAGGA
rnacentral:misc_RNA from 1 species